rnacentral:tRNA from 1 species
AUCUUUUUAGUAAAAAUAAUACAAAUGACUUCCAAUCAUUUAAUCUUAGUUUAAACCUAAGAAAAGAUA